CAUCAUAAGUAAAAGACAACACGAGCAGAUCAUCUACAGUCACAUGUUCUAAAAUUGCUGAUAUCCUUUUCUCCAAUUCAUUCUUGCAACUAUUAGCUGCUCUUAAGAAAAUUGCUGUACGAAGGAGACAACAUAGGAAAUUGAUGGGAAAAGCUGCUUUGUCUGAAGGUAAGAGCUUGACAAUUGACUCGAGAAGUUGCUCUUAAGAAAAUUGCAGUACGGAGGAGACAACAUAGGAAAUUGAUGGGAAAAGCUGCUUUGUCUGAAGGUAAGAGCUUGACAAUUGACUCGAGAAGUUGGCGUUGAUGCAUCCUGAUGUCGGAGUCCUCUGGCUCGACUAAUCUGGUUCCAUUACCGGAGUGGUCACGUACAAGGUCACGAAGAGAUCUCUCUGUAUACGUGAUUAUA
rnacentral:lncRNA from 1 species